CAGUAGCCGCGGGAAUACGAAGGGGGCUAGCGUUGUUCGGAUUUACUGGGCGUAAAGCGCACGUAGGCGGACUUUUAAGUCAGGGGUGAAAUCCCGGGGCUCAACCCCGGAACUGCCUUUGAUACUGGAAGUCUUGAGUAUGGUAGAGGUGAGUGGAAUUCCGAGUGUAGAGGUGAAAUUCGUAGAUAUUCGGAAGAACACCAGUGGCGAAGGCGACUGACUGGACAAGUAUUGACGCUGAGGUGCGAAAGCGUGGGGAGCAAACAGGAUUAGAUACCCCUGUAGUCCCUGUCUCUUAUAC
rnacentral:rRNA from 1 species